GUAAGGAAUAUUGGUCAAUGGUGGGAACACUGAACCAGCCAUCCCGCGUGCAGGACGAAGGCCCUCUGGGUUGUAAACUGCUUUUACCAGGAAAGAAACGAGUGGACUUGUCCGCUCCUGACGGUACCUGGGGAAUAAGCACCGGCUAACUCCGUGCCAGCAGCCGCGGUAAUACGGAGGGUGCAAGCGUUAUCCGGAAUCACUGGGUUUAAAGGGUGCGUAGGCGGCCUGGUAAGUCAGGGGUGAAAGCUUCCCGCUCAACGGGAGAACUGCCCUUGAUACUGCCGGGCUCGAAUUGGGUUGAGGCUGGCGGAAUGUGGCAUGUAGCGGUGAAAUGCUUAGAUAUGCCAUAGAACACCGAUUGCGAAGGCAGCCAGCCAAGCCUUGAUUGACGCUGAGGCACGAAAGCGUGGGGAGCGAACAGGAUUAGAAACCCUAGUAGUCC
rnacentral:rRNA from 1 species